GGCUGGGUGGCUCAGCGGUUAGGGCAUAGGGCUUGGGGCCGAAAGGUCCUAGGUUCGAAUCUCGCAAGAGGCA
rnacentral:tRNA from 1 species